rnacentral:rRNA from 1 species
AUUAAUAAGCGGAGGAAAAGAAACUAACCAGGAUUCCCUCAGUAACGGCGAGUGAAGCGGGAAGAGCCCAGCACCGAAUCGCACGUCCUUUGGACGUCGUGAACUGUGGUGUUUAGGACUAGCGCAUGUGCGUCGGUCCGGCGUCCGAGUCCUCCUGAUCGGGGCUUUGCCAGAGCGGGUGUCAGCCCUCUACGGCGCCGGAUUGACGUGCCCGCCACGUCCUCGGAGUCGGGUUGUUUGAUAAUGCAGCCCAAAGUGGGUGGUAAACUCCAUCUAAGGCUAAAUACGGACACGAGUCCGAUAGCGAACAAGUACCGUGAGGGAAAGUU